UACGUAGGUGGCGAGCGUUUGCCGGAAUUACUGGGGCGUAAAGCGCGCGCAGGCGGCUGUCUACGUCCGGGGUGAAAGCCCAGAGCUCAACUCUGGGACUGCCUUGGAUACGGGAUAGCUUGAGGAUCGGAGAGGCAAGGGGAAUUCCACGUGUAGCGGUGAAAUGCGUAGAGAUGUGGAGGAACACCUGUGGCGAAGGCGCCUUGCUGGCCGAUUUCUGACGGCUGAGGCGCGAAAGCGUGGGGAGCAAACAGG
rnacentral:rRNA from 1 species